UUUUAAACCUCUGUGAUGCAGAUAUAGCAGAAUUGCCAGCAUCUAUUGGAAAGCUAAGGCAUUUAGAAUACCUUGAUCUCUCGAGGACAAAGAUAAAGUCUAUACCUGACUCUGCCUGCAACCUUUACAAGUUGAAGACAUUGAGGAUCAUUGGAUGUAAUUCUCUCAAAAAACUCCCAAAAUAUUUCAAGAAUUUGCUAUGCCUGAGACAUCUUCACUUCUAUUAUAAUGAGUACUUCUCUAUGCCAUAUGAGUUUGGGCGAUUAAGUCACCUUCAAACACUGCCAAUCUAUAACGUGGGAAAGGAGUGUGGUCCUCCAAUUGGGGAGCUGAAGCACUUGAAAGAUCUCAAAGGCAAGCUGGAGAUACGAAAUCUUGAUCUUGUGAAAGACAAAAAGGAAGCUCAGCAAGCAAAUCUAUUUGGGAAACCGAAUUUGCAGGAGCUGGAGCUUCGUUGGAUUGAUCCUGAAAGAGAAGAAAGAGAAGGUCCAAACAACGAUGAGAAUGUGCUGGAAGGCCUUGAGCCUUACCACAAUCUGAAAAGCUUAAGGAUCGAACACUUCCAAGGUGACAGAUUCCCAUCAUGGGUAAUGAAGAUGUCUGUUAAAAGAGGCUCUUUGCAACUUAACAAUUUGGUGGAGGUAAAACUGGAAAGCUGCACAAGAUGCAAGGAAAUCCCAACACUAGGGACCCUACCGCUUCUCCAAAAUCUUGAGAUAGUUGAACUCUCAGAAGUUAGCUGCUUUGGAUCAUCAUUUUACGGUGGCAAUGGAUCAAAUACCAACACCAGUGAAACUCAAGCUACAAAAUCAUUCUUUCCAGCACUCAAAAGCCUCACAAUAGACUGCAUGCCAAGCCUACUAGAUUGGAAGGGACCAGAAGAAAUCUCUGCAUCUUAUGAAGCUAAGACGUUUAAUAGCCUUGAGAGAUUAUUUCUUAGAUGGGAUCCAAAGCUGAUGACUGCUCCAAGUCAUUUCCCUGCACUCAAGGUACUGAGGGUUGAAUCCAUCAAGAGCAGCUCGCCACUGGAGUGUAUAUGCAAUUCCAAGCUGACCACCCUCACAAGUCUCCGUGUUGAGGAUGUAGAGGAGCUAACUUCUCUUCCAGAUGAGUUGCUGGAAAACAACACCAACCUUUCUCAUCUAUGUAUUAUAAAGUGCCACUCUUUGACACACAUUGUUCCUCAUAUGUCCGGUUGCAGUGCAGUGCUCCAAGAGUUGGAGAUCAAGGAAUGCGGGGCAUUACAAGAAUUUCCACCAGAAAUUUGUUCACUCAGAUCUCUCAAAAGGUUCGAGCUAUCAUACUGCCCUAGUAUCAAAUUAUUUCCAAAUUUGAAUGGACAGGGAGGCCUUCCAUCCCUUCAGAGCUUGACAGUUUCUGAGUGCCAAGGUUUGAUCAGUAUACCAAGUGAGGUAUUGGAGUCUUGCAAGUCUCUCCAAUACCUAUGGGUGACAGAGUGUGAAAAUCUCAUCGAGUUUUCUCCAAAUUUUCAACAAAUGCCUAACAUUUCAUUCAUGGGAAUUACUUCCUGCCCUAAGUUGAAUACCAUGCCCAAGGGGCUUGGUGCACUUAGCAACUUGGCUAACCUUAGGAUGGGUCCUCUUUCAAAUUCAAUGGAGUUUGAAACAUUCCAAACAUGUUUUACAGGGCUUCAACAGCUUUCUUCACUUGUUUCUCUAUUCUUAGAGGGGCAGCAUCACUGGAAUUCUUUGCCUGAAGAGCUUCAACACCUGACUGCUCUGAAAGAAAUGACUUUAUAUGACUUUGGAAUAGAAGUUUUGCCAGAUUGGAUAGGGAAUCUUUCCUCGAUUCAAAGUUUAGACCUCUCUUAUUGCCCAAAACUUGAGUCCUUUCCCUCCAAAGAAAUAAUGGAAGGCCUCAAGAAUUUGGAGAACCUGGAUAUCGAGGACUGUAAUCUGCUAGCAAGGAAAUGGAUGCUGCAAAAUGAACCAGAUUCUGAAUGGUUUAAAGUUUCCCAUAUUAAGCGCGUCAUUCUAGAUUAUGAAGAAGUUUCAGAUCCAAUCAUCUGGAAUAUGUAAGUGCUUCCAAAACUAUCCAUUUUACAUUUUACUCUUAGGUAGUUCUAGAUUCUUUACUUGCAAAAAAAAAAAAAAUUUUCUUGACUUGCUGCAAGUCCAAUCUACUAUAAUAUUUACUGUUUUUCUUUUCUGUUUAUUCCACUGCAAACCUCAAUUAUGCAGGAUCCAUAGGAUGAUGGAAAAGCGAAUGCAAAAGAGAAAUAAUGAGGAAAAGAAGAAGAAGAAGAAGAAGACGAAGAAGACAAAGAAGAAGACAAAUUCAAGUACUUCAACUAGCUGAAAAGUUGUAGAAGAAGAUUGUCAAUCAGGGAUAAAUAUUCUUUAGGAUAAGAUGAAGUUUAUUUGUUUUAAACUCUUGCAUAAAGUAAGACAAAUUCUCUUGAACUAAGAAGUGCUUUUUGAGAAAGUUCAAAGUAAUAGAAAAGUGAUUUUCCAUAGCAAAUCACUCUCUACUUGACCACUUUAUAUAGGAGAGAUUGUUUAAGAAACAAAAGAACUUAUUAAAUACUUGUAUAAAUAAAUUCAAGGUAUUAUAUACAAAUUCAUGCACUUUAAUUUAUACAUUCAACCUAGAGUAAUUUGAAAUUUCGAAGAAUAUUGUAAAUUGUUUGACUGCACCAAGCUAAAUGAGCUCUUAUUUAGCAGGUUCACUAUAGUAAAAGGCAAAGCUGAUCAGUACAAUCAUGCAAAGCUAAUUCAUACAAAGUUAGUUUGAUUCAUCUCGCAAUACAAUCAUGUUCUUGGUCUGGUCCUUAUUAAUCCUAAAGUUUUAGUGAAAAGUAAAUUUAGUAAGGAGGAAAACAGCAGAGGAAAACUCUCUGUUUUCUCUUAAUUAUAUUGUUAAAAAAAAAAUACUAUUUUAGCAAGGAGAAAAGCACGUCUCACCAAUAAUUGAACCCAAAAAAAAAGUGAAAAAUACAUACAGAUAAAACAUACAAGCAACCAAAAAUUUCAAAAGUACAUCAACAAUCAACUUAUACUCUUUUCAGUCUACUCUUUGGAAGACAACGUUGAAACUUGUACACAUGCAUUAUAUGACACAAGAAUGUGUCCAAAUUCAACUAAUAGAUGUACCUAAUCAUCUUAAAAAUGAGAGUUAGGCUCCUCAUCCAAUGAAUGUAAUAUUACUCACAGGAAAAUUGUUUUUGUCAAAAUGAAUGGUUUAUUCUUGAAAUAAAAACAACAAUGAGGCAAUCGAGUAUAUUGACGUUCAUAUUAGAUUUUUAAUCCAUAUGAGAUUCUUUUGUUUCUAGUAAUUACAAAAUAUUUUCAUAAGAAAAUAUAUUACUCUAUUUAAAGAUGGUAGCAGAAGAUGGAAGAAUUGUACACCAAAACAAAGUAGACUAGAGACAACAUCAUCAGUUCAUCAAACAAUGUCAAUGUCAAGAAUUGGUGAUUCCCAGAAGAGAGCAGUUGCACAUGUAGCUCUGUUUCCUAGUGCAGGAAUAGGCCAUUUGGUCCCAUUUCUGAGAUUGGCAGCCAUGCUUGCUUCUCCUAAUUGCCAAUGCAGAGUUACCUUGAUUGCUGUUCAGCCUCCAGUUUCUGGUGCAGAGUCCAACGAAUUGUCCAACGAAUUGUCUGCCUUCUUUGCUUCCCACCCUCAAAUCAAUCGGCUUGACUUUCAUCUCCCAAUUCCCAGCAGUCCAUCCGAAUUUGCAGACGCUGAAAAACCUGAUCCUUUCUUUGCUCGAUUUCUAGAUAUUAGUAGCUCAGUUCAUCUCCUGCAUCCUCUCUUGGCUUCCUUAUCUACUCCGCCUCUAUCUGCCAUCUUCGCUGACUUUGCUGUUGCAGCCGAUAUCAAUCGUCUAGCUGAUGAAUUAUCUAUCCCCCUUUACAUUGUAUCCACCACUUCGGCUAGAUUUUUUUCGGUUAUGGCUUGUCUUCCUCACUUGACAUUCGAAAGCAAAAGUUCGGAAGACUAGCAUUCAGCUUCCGGGUUUAGCUUCGGUGCCAAUUUCAAGCCUUCCUCCUCCCUUCUUUACUCCAGAUCAUAUUUUCACAGCCCACAUCCGUUUAAAUGCUCAAUUUCUCUCGAAAGCCAAGGGUAUUGUACUUAAUAGCUUUGAUUGGUUUGAGUCUGAAACAAUUGCUGCAGUAAAUACUGGCAGGGUGCUGGCUCAUUUACCGCCUUUCCUCCCCAUGGGACCAUACGAGCCUUGUAAGGCUGUCGUGAAAGCUGGCUCUUAUCUGCAGUGACUAGACGGCCAACCAAAUGAGUCUGUAGUCUAUGUUAGCUUUGGAAGCAGAACAGCAUUGUCAAAGGAACAAAUAAGAGAACUACGAAAUGGACUGGAGAGAAGUGGAUGUAGAUUUCUUUGGGCAAUAAAGACUACCAAAGUUGGCAAAGACGAGAGGGAAGAUCUGCAAGAUUUGCUUGGCAGUUCAUUUCUUGAAAGAACAAAGAAGAAGGGGCUAGUUUGUAAAGGAUGGGUGGAGCAAGAGCAAGUUUCAGCGCAUCCAGUAAUCGGAGGAUUUGUUAGCCAUUGUGGGUGGAAUUCUGUAACCGAAGCAGCUCGAUUUGGGGUGCCUAUAUUGGCUUGGCCUCUAAAUGGAGACCAAAAGUUGAACGCAGAAGUGACAGAGAAGGCAGGCCUUGGAGUAUGGAUGAGGCAUUGGGGCUGGCUGGGGGAGAAUCUAGUGAAGGGACAGGAGAUUGGGGAUCAAAUUAUCCAGUUGAUGCAGGAUAAAACAUUGAGGGUAAAGGCAAAGAAGGUGAAGGAAGAAGCUAGGAAGGCCUAUGAAGUUGGUGGGAGUUCUAAGAAAGUGCUUCUGGAAAUCAUAGAAAAUCUUUGAGCUGAAGCCAGUAGGAUGAAACUUGAAAUGGGCAGAAUCCACAUCACUGGUAGCAAAAAUUUAGCUGAGAACUCUGAUAAAUUACUGUUAUCUACUGUCGUAGAAGCAAAAUUCCCACUUUUGUGCUAUUUUUUAUCCUUGAUUUGUUGUCAAUUACUCCAGAUGAUGUUUCUCUUCUUCUCUUUCUGUACUUUUUUCCUUUCUUUCUAAAUACAUUAAUUUAUGAUAUCAACAAAUAAUCCUUGCUUCGUGUAGAAUUGACCUGAUAGAAGGAAAAAAAAUUAAAAUGAUGAUAGAAAUGACCCUUGAUUGGUAUGAACUUGAUUAUAUAAUCUUCAUACUAAUGCAACUUUACAGUUUGGAACUUAAAAGUAGGAGCUGAGAAGAUUGGUUGUCUUUGUUUAUUGCUGUUCACUGGUGUUUACCGACCAGCUGGUCAGAUUCAUUUCUAUUAGGAGAAUACAUAGAGACAGAUUGGUGUCAAGGUGAAUGUAGUGGAAGAUGCAGUACUUUGGUACCAUUAAUUUGUGUCAAGAAGCAUCACUUAGUACACAAUCAAGUUCUAUUGGCUACCAUGAUGAGUUUAUGUUCUAUAUAGUUGAAAGACAACUAAAAUUUGUGCACUUGCAUAUACAGCACAACAAUAUUUUUCCAAUUUUAACUAACUGGAAUACCUAAUUAUUUUCAUAAUGAAGACUGUGGCCCUUGAUCCAGUAAAUUUGACACAAACUCUUUUGUCACAAUGUACGGUUACUACUUGUAACAAAUAAUAAUGAACCACUGAGAGUUUAUUAUAGGCAAGGCAUGGAAAAGUUGACUGCAGAUCUAUUGCAUAUGUUUAAAAUAAUUAAAUUUCACAUACUUCAUUUACCUUUUAUAAUCACUAAAAAGCACACAGGUCUUUGGAACUUCAUUGCUCACUGAGCAUCAGAAUUUCUUCCUCUCUGCAAACUUGUGCAGAACAAAAGCACCUCUACCUGCGAGAGAAUGGCUGAAGCUGAGCUGAUGAGUGCAUCCAUGGACGUUUUGUUGCAGAAAGCAAUCUCAGUGACUGCUGAAAACAUAGACCUUGUGUUUGGUUCUCAGGAAAGCUCAGGGUCCUUGAAUACUAUGACAAAGAAUUUGUUUUCCCACUCCAGUGAAGAGACUAAUCUUGUGCAGACCAUCAGAGAAGAGUUGGAGAGUCUGGAAGGUUCUUUAUCAAUCAUCCAAGCCGUCUCGCGGGACAAUCUGAGGCUGCAGGACAAGGCAGAGAACAUCAAGCACUGGCUGCAGAAGCUUGGAGGUUUAGCCUAUAAUGCUGAUGAUGUUUUGGCAGAAUUUGCCUAUGAAAUUCUCCCAGCAUGAGGUAGAGAUCUUGAACCAAGAGAAACCAAAGGUAUGCUUCUUCUCCUCACAUUCUAAGAAGAAAGCCUUUGUCUAUGAAAUGUUACCAAAAGCAAGAGAUAUUUAUAAUAAGCUGAAGAUGAUCGAUAAAGGAAAUGAACACUUGUGUAGAUCAAAAGCACAAGCGAACCAGCAACCAUUAGGUCUUUCACUUAAGAAUAUCAGUUUAUAAUCAGCACAAGAGAAACACGGGAUUUAAGAAGUGGGGAAGUGACAGAGGAAUUAGAACUCACGACCCAUAAUUUUGUUCUCGUUGUUUAAUCUCUUCUUAUUUGGUCAUUGUGAAUUCUUUCAGCUUUUUGUAAUUUUUCCUUAUUUUACUCCUUUGCAUCUCCAAUCUCUCGCACGGAGGGUGAUCUUGGAAACUUGAAAAUCUACCACAUAAAACAUUAGUUCUUUUUCAUUUACAGUUUGUUAAUUAUCAAAAUUAGAAUAUUAAAGACAACACUAUAUAUCACCCGCUAUCUUUUACUGUGAUGAGCAUGUAAUUUCCAGGGCCACUGGAGCCCAGUGGUCAUCCCAAGCCUAAGGUGCGGGAAGUCAAGGGUUCGAACCUUGCCUCCCACAAAAAUUGUCACAAUAUGUGACGGUCUUCAUUGACCAGUUUCGAUGGAUUUUCUACUCACAUCGAGUCCUCUCCUCCUCCCCCUAGAAUAGGUUAGUUUAGAUUAUAGGAAUUCUAUCGUAUCGAAAAAAAAAAAGCAUAUUAUUUCCAGGCCAAAAGAAAAAAAAAAUGAGAUUAAGAGAUGCAUUUCAACCAAAAUGUUGUGUUUUGAGUAUGUGAGCACUUGAAAUGCAUCAUUUUAAACAGGGGAAAAAGUUUCGAUGGCCCUCAAACUAUUAACCGGAUGAAUUUUUGGCCUCUAAACAAUUAAAAGUGAACUUUUGGCCCCCGAUCUAUCAAAAGUACAAAAUGUUAUACCUUCUGUCAAAUUUAGUAGUUAAUACCGAUGGAAACUACGACCGCGUGAAACGCACACCGAAAUACAAAGAGCAUUUUUGUCCACAAUGAGCUAAAGCAUUUCUGAGAUGGUAAGAAAAAGAUAGGAAUCACUGCCAGACUUGUUUGGGGGCCAAUAAUUUACCCGACUAAUAGUUUAAGGGCCACUGAAACUUUUUCUCCUUUUAAAUAUGAUUGGAUGAAAAAGGAUGUUGUGUGGAUGUAAGGAACUAUUUGUUCAAUUUUCCCUUUUAGGAUUUUCUAUCACUUCUCUUUCUACACGCCUUAGUGUGCCUUUUAUUCUCUUCAUGUUCAUGACAUAUUAUGAGUUAGAAGUUCCACUCUCAUGCAAUGAAAAUUAAUAACUUAUCAGGCUUUUAGGAUCUGUUUAAUGUUAAUAAAAAUUUGAUGCAUUUAAGUCUAAAUAUUAGAUUGCUUUAGAACUUCUUUCAAACAAAUACUAAAUUUCUUGCUCUACCAACUGACCAAUUUCUUUUCUUUUUUUUUAUAUUCGGAUGAAUACUGAUUCAUCAACUUAAAAUGUACCAAAAGAUAGUGUUCUUCCAUUGGAAAAUAAACAAUAAUAGUAAAACAGUUGUAAUAAUCUAUUUCUACACUAAAAAAUUAGCCAAAGUAAAAGAACAAAAGGAGAAAGGAAAACAAAAUAUUCUAAAAUAUUCGCUAGGCCGCAGGAUAUUUAUACUUGUACGGAUCGUCAAGAUUGCCGCAUUGCAUGAUCUUCUCCCAAAUAGUGAAUUAACAAAAUCAGCUCCUCCUUCCAUGCAUAAACUUUAAGGUGAAAUAGACAAGACAUCUGAACCCUGGACCACAAUAUAGGCCGAAUAAGGGCAUGUAAAUUAUUAUUGCAAUUUCUUUUUUGCUUGAUUCAAAAUUUUUCUUCGGGUAAAAUACGCUUUAACGAUUUGUCAUGUAAUGCUUCUGUAAUUUCAAAAACUAUGCAUAACUCUCUCAUAAUUUGGACUAAAAUAUCAAAAUGAUGGAAAUCAUCCUUUGUAAUGGAACCCACAAAAAUGUCGAGAUUAUUCUUGUUUAAAAACUAAAAUAAAAGAAGUAAUUUAAAUACAUAAACAUAAUAUGCAUGAUAUUUUAAUCCUUUAUAGUUUUAUGUUUUACCAUAUAACCCCAUUAUAUUUUUUGAAAUAUGUGCAAAACUACCAUGUGAUUAAUGAAUAAUAUGCAACUUUAUAUACGGUACUUUUCACAUUUAAGUUGAAUCACUUAUGGAAUACAAAUUCCGUUAGUUUGACACUUUUGUCCAAACAAUGAGAGAUUUAUGUAUAGUUUUUUGAAACUAUAGUGGCGUUAUGUGUAAAAGUGCUAAACCACAGGGAGUAAAGUAUAAUUUACCCUUUUUCUUUUAUUGUGACACAUUUAUAUUAUGCAACGGAAAUUUGUUGCAAGUUCUAACAAAUUAAAUUAGUUCUUUCUUUUGAGAUUUGUAUUUGUUCUGAACAAUUAUUGUUUUAUCAAUAAAAGUGACAAACUUAUCAAAAAAUAGGAUAAAAUAACAAACUAAAAAGAAAAUAUGGAAUUGAUGGUAUUCUUUUCAAAUUCAACAUAUUUUAUGAUCACUACAGUAUUCAAAAUGGUUUAGCUGCUGAAAACAAUGAGUUCAGUUUUUCAGUUUUGACUAUUCUUUAUCUACAAAUUCACAAACUUUUGCCGAUCCACUACCUAAUUUCUAAAAUUCUGAGUCAAGUGAUUAAACUAGCACUUGGUUGGAUACAGCAUUGGGCUGGAAAACACAAAGUCACCACAUAUUAUUAUUUGCAAGCUAAUGGAUUCCGCCAAAGUUUUACAGACUACAACUAGUGCCAAUAUUGAUUGUGCACCUUAGACUGAGCUUCUCAUUUUAUUUGGAUUCAAAAGUUAAGAUUGAAGGAGUCGAAAUCUGGAUAUUGGGGGUUCUAAAGCAAUUUUUGCCCCAGAAUGCAUCAGCAUAAAGAACUUAAAUUAGUUCUAAUCCUUUUCUAGUCCUCCUUAACCUCCUCCCAAGAAACAAAAAAUAAUUCCAAAGUAAAACUAAAUUACAAAGUUUAGUUUUCUUUGUUCCUUUUGUUCUUCAAGAUCAAAUGCAGACAUAAAUUAACUUGCUCUUUUCCAAAAACGCAAUUUCAAAAACUAUUGCUUGAAAAUAUUUAGUAACUAACGUUGUAGUUUCUAAAAAGUACACUAUUGUAUAGAUUGGCUACACUAUGUUUUUAACUAAACCAUUACUAUUUUCCGUUUCCCUCCUCAGAUAGCAUCAACAAUUACCUUAAAUCAUGUUGAGUUUCAUUCCCAGACCACACAAUCUUUUCAAGUUUUUGGGGUAUAUUGUAACACAUAUAAAAGACACAAUCACAACACUUUUUUUCUGCCUAAAUAAAGUUAUUGAACUUUUUUCCUGAUAAGCAAUUUACAAUCUACUCUCAAUUUAAACUCGUCAUUUUACUUUUAAUACUUGUAUAUAUAGUUGCAUCAUUUCAACUUUUAGGUUUAAGAUCAGCUUCUAUUGCAAAACUCUAGCUCCCCUACAACCCAUAGCCAACAUUUAUAAAGGCGUUGUUAUCAUUUUGCUCUCCUAAAGUUUAGAGCUACUUUCAGUCUCCAUCAUAGCAUUAUUCUUCAGGCAUUUUAUCUCUAAACCUAACACUCACACUUGGCGUAGUUUAGCGAUGCAAUUAUAAGAUACAUUUAGCCCUUAGAGUCAUUACUUUAUCCUCUUAAACUAUAGACUAUAGAGCUAUUAUUAGGUUACCUCCUAACAUAAUUUUUUAUGUAUUCUACCCAUUAAAAUAGUUUAGCAUGUUGAUAAAUUUUGGACAAAAUUACCUUUCUCUUUAUGUAAUAAAAAUAUUCAAAAACUUUGAAUUAUUCUUCACCAUUUUUCCCACUCUAUUAAAUACAAAGGGGUGAUUCUCCUUUUUUUUGGCACUCUUAUCAAUAUUAAGAAAGGCAAGAGACGGGAAAGAAUUAGAGGGAAAACUCGAUUCUGGAAAGAAAGAAUAUGAGAAAGAACAUAGUAUUCUCAAUAUACUUUUUACCCUAAUAGUAUUGAUAGUUAGCCUUAAGGCAUCAGAGUUCGAGGGCAUACAGGCAAAUGAGCAAAGCUGAUUGUUACAUAUUCAAGGAAAGAAAUUAUAUGUUCACAAAUUCCCCCCGCAAAGUUGAGUGGAUAUGGCCUAAAUUAUAAGUUAACAUUGACCCAAGAAAAGAGGGGCUCAUAAUUAUUCAUCUGUGAGGAUCCGAAAAUUUUCUUAUUUUAUAGAAUAUUACUGGAAUAUUUAAAUGAUUAUUCACUCAUUUUCUUCGAAUUAUUUAUUUCGACCAUUUUAAAUCCAUUUAUAUGGAAUGACGCCUCUUUAUAAUUUUAAAGCGUUUUGUUGAAAAAUUCGCUUUUCGAAAAUUUGUUUAGUCCUGAACGACGGGUGCACGUUUUUCUAGGCUAUACUUGAAUCGGGAGUGUAUUAAUAUUGGAGAAUUAAGAACGAUCAAUAAUAGAUUAAGAAAGGUUAAUGGAGGAAUUAAUACUCAAUUCACGUGAGGACUCGUAAAAUUAUUAUUUUUAAAACCCCUAAUUUUGGCUCAAUUAAUUAUCUAUUUGGAUUUUUGCCCCGAAUAUUAUUUUCUAUCCUUAUUAGACCUAAGUACAUGGUUUUAUAGUUUCGUUAUAUUUUUAAAGUAUCUCGUUUCAAAAAUUAUUUUCUUAGAAGCUUGUUUAGUGAAAAAGUGAAAACGUGUCUAAACACUUUAGCCAAUUGGGAGUACACUAAGCUCGAAAAUUUGGGGAUAUGUACAAUGGUUCUAAAAUAGGUAAAUUUAGGUUUAAAUACUCAAGUGGUAGUUAGUGGUACGAUCGUUAUAAGAAUUUCUCGAAAGUUUCAUUUUUUUUGCGCAUAAAUUGGAAAUACGUGUUUUCACGUGUGCGCUUAAUUGAGGGACUUUGGACCAUUAUUUUGGAACAAUUAAGAAUGAAUAAUAUUUAUAUGAAUGUAAGUGCCCUAGAGGUUUAGUGCACUAGUGCAACAAACUUAAGAGAAAUCGAGCACAAAACGCGCGCGUAGGCGCACUAUUUGCAAUUGAUUCUUUUCCGCACUUAAACUAUUACACGAGUAGCGUUCCUUAUACGCCAAAGGAUCAGCAAAACACUUCAUUUCUUCAAGCUCCUUGGACGGCUAGCAGCUGCAAAGAAACAACAAAAACUUUCAACAUUCCCUCUACAAAUCUUACUCAAUCUCUACCAAAUUCUCUUAAAAAAAUUCAACUACACUUAGCUCAACUCUUGGGAAGUCCAUCUAGCUGCAAAAGAAAGGAGCUAUCCACGGUUUUCUUCAGGCUUCAAAGGGCCGAAAAUUCUGUCUUGACAAACCAUCAAAGUAGGUAAUGAUCUAAUACCUUAAACUUGUCCUAUGGAAGUUAAAUUACACUUAUGAGCUUGAAUUUGCAUAUGGGUUGUGGUUGUUGUUGGAGAAAUUGGAAAAGUGGGCUCUAUGAAUUCCCACUCUUGGGUUACUGCUGAUUUUGUUCUUGAUGAUGUUUAUAAUGUGGAAUUAGUGUUUAAAUCAGUGGUUUGUUGAUGGAAAAUUGAUAGAAACUCACGUUAGGUGCAAAGGCCAAAUCUGACCAUUUUGCCCCUGCUUUGUUCGGCCACCUUAAUGCAGAAAUUUGAGGAUUUAAUGGCUUGAUUGCAUUGUUUACAUGUUGUAGAAAUUGUGUACAAAUUUUCAUUGAAAAAAUGUUGAGUUUUGGUUGAUCAAAAGAAUUUAUUUCCCAAAGCUAGUAAUCUGGAAAACGGUUCCCGUCGUAACCAGACCAGUGUUCGUAUUUCGUCCAUAACUCCGUACUCCGAUGUCGAAAUCAAGUGCCGUUGGCGGCAUUUGAAACUAGACAUUCCCAUCUUUCCAACGGUAUAUAAUACACGUUCUGGUUCCAUGUGUGUGAACCGCACUACUCUUCUGAAUUCAGCUGCCAUGUUUCUCCGUUCUGCCGAAAUGAUUUGAUGAUGCUGCAGCUUUAGGCUUAAUUUCGAGCCAGUUGCAUGCUGAAACUUAAAAAGAUUUCUUCUGUGAAAUUUUAGCCCUAUGAAUGUACUUUCUAACAAAUCAACCAUGCUCAAAUCCAAGUUAAAUUGAGUGAGUUAUGAUCAAAAUACGGUGACUGCCUUGUUCUUGAAAACCCUUAGAUUUGGACAGAUUAGAUGUGAGACUUGUUGUGGUCUUACCAAAUGAAUUUCUUGGUGCUAAACACCUACCAAAUGUACCAUGUAUGCUCCUUAGACUUUUCUUACACAAAUGAACCAUGUUUGGAGGUUUUCCUUAGCCGAAUGUUUGGAAACGGAGAGAAAGGGGGCUAAAGGUAGUUUUGCCUUAGUAAUUUCAAAACUUUGGUUGAUUGGUUAACCACCUUUCCGAAGGUAUUUUUCCACGAAUUUUGAUAGAGAGAUACCCUUCAUAUAGGAGUAUUAUACUGCAAAAUUUGGUAUCAAUCCAAGUCCGUUUCGACACUUAACAAAAGGUCCAAAGUCGGAACCAAAUCUGGAAAUUUUGUAACAGUCUUGAAUUUUUUCCAACUUUGAGCUAUCAUAUCUUGGUGCUCGAAACUCCGAUUCUCGAUCCUCUUAUUCUGCCAUAAACCUUACUUGUACCUCUAAUUGAGCUAUAAAUUUCAAGGGCUGGUUUACAACGAGUGAAUUCUGCCGAAUUUCCAAAGUUAGCAAAAAACCAACCCCGGCUUAAUCCUGGGUGAUUUGGAACAGCAACUUUAAACUCAUUAUUGAAUACCUUCCAUUUAAAUUCAUGGAACAGUGUUUUCGAAGAACUUUUAGUACUUUCAAAUACGAUUCCAACGGUACCAAGUUUAUCAAUUUUUGACUAGUAGAAAAGAAGUUAUGAUUUUUCAAAAAUUUUACCAAAAAUCGAAAAUUCUGGAAUUUCAAAAGAAAUCCGCGCGGGAAGCAUUUUUCUAGAAUCCGGCCUUGAAUCCAGCCAGAACUGGCCGGAUAGGUGGCCGGAUUGUAGCAGGAAUUUGAAAAAAAAUGAGGAUGGCUACUGCCUCCAAUCCGGCCAAGAAUCCGACCGGAUUGUGACGUGGCCAGUCCACUUUCAACUUCGGUCGUUCGUUUUGAGAUUUAUACGCACGUACUCGUUUCCACCCAAUGAUUUCAAGAAUAAUAAUCCGAUAUUACUCGAGUCUCGUACUUUUUGCGAAUCCAAUUUCAAAGACAAACUCAAACGAAAUUUCCAAAAUAUUUCCAGACCACAUUUGUGUUCGAUCACCUCGUCUCUUAGGGACCUAUAGUAAUGGUCUUCUAUUCGAUGUUCAGGCACGCACGAGGACCUCUAAGAGGAUCCUACCAUGGAAGUUUGAACACUCAAUCCAACCUGCUUGCUUGCGUAACUUGGUGAGUGUCAGGUGUAUGUAAACUUGUUACAUGUUUAAUUGUUAUUAAUGAUUGGAAAUCUUGAAAGUGGAGUCGAGUGUGUACUUUACCACACUUGUUCUCAUUAGAAAUGAAAUAUUAAUGGUUGAAAUGUAUUGAAUGAAUGAUUGAAAUGCAUUGAAUGAAUGAUUGAAAUGUAUUGAAUGAAUGAAUGAAAUGUAAUGGUAUGCUAUAGUUGCCUACGUCGUUGGAGUGAAUCUCCUCGACACACAAGUGCACAUGGGGACGCCCAAAUCUCAUUGACCGACCUUGGACUCGAGCCGGCAUGGGAUUGGUCGGAAACCUUGGCGAGCCAUGAGAUAUAUAAGCUUGACCUAGUGAGAGGUCUUGCUUGGCAUACUCGAGUAGUAUCGCCACAAACAAAUGACAGGCGAGCCCGAUACAGGGGUAUGUAAGGUGAAAGGGGACAGGUUAAGUGGAGUUCUACGGAUUAAACCUACCUGAUUGACGGAGUGUCAAUUCGUGGAGGUUAUUGAAUGUGCAAGUGGAAUAUAGCUCCUGAGGGCUCCAGUAUCCUUGAAUUGUUUCUGGUUAUAUUUCCAGUAAAUUGUUAAUUACUAAAAUAUGAUUGCUUGACUUGUAAAUUGAGAUUGUUAUUUGAGCAAUGUGCUUGUAUGUGUGUUCUUGGCCUCACGAGCGUUUUUGCUCACCCUGUAGAUUUGUUUUCCUUAACAGGAUUGAACUUGGCGAGGUAUCGAAGAAACCUUCCUGCUACGCUUUUGUUUAGGGUUUCUAUUACUUUUGGCUAUGUCUUGGCUUUUGGGUUGUAUUUUGGAAUCCGAAUGUAACUUUUGGAGCAUGAUGUAUAUUUGGGAUAUAUGAUGGUUGUUGAACACCCGAUGUGCGGGUUGGAUAACGGAUGACUUUUAUUAAACUUGAACGCUUCCGCAUUUAUUGUAUCUAAGUUAUUGACUCGUAUGGUGUGGUCCGGCAAUAAGUUUAAAUGGAAUUGCUUGAGUCCUGGCGAAAGUUAGCCAGGCGUCCCGCGGAUACCCUUUGGUUCGCCUUAAGGAGAAGUGAGGGCGUCACAGUUGGUAUCAGAGCAUAGGCUUUAGAUCUUGUAGUGUAUCCUAGGUUUAAAGUUUAGGAUGCUUGACUGUGGGAUUAAUUUGAAUAUUAUGUGAACUAGAGGAUCUAUUGUAUCCUACGGGUUAAAGAAAUUGGUUACUUGAGAGUUUCUUACUUAGAACUUGUAGAAAUAAAAAAUUGAGGAAUUAGCUGAUGUUAUAUUGAAGGAAAAUAUGGGAUGAGAGAUUAGUAGUGAAAGAUUGGAGGAAUUUGAAUUAUUAUUAUACUUGUAAGUGUGGAAAGAAGUGAGACAAUUAUUAGUGUUGGCUAAAGCGGAUAAGAGACCGAGAUUUGAUGGUCAAACUCCAUGUAUCGUGAUUGUGAACCCAGAUAAAAGAGUUUCAAAGGAAUAAAAUGCAUUUUCCUGCUCAUUUACCUCCUAAAGAUUUUAUGAUUUGAAAUUCUAAAGGAAAAAUGAGGAUGUACUAGUUUUAUUUUCAAACGGUGAUUGGAAAUAAUAUAUAUAUGCUUUAAGUAUGUGUAAUUCUUCGAUUUUGGUAAAUAUGUGAAUUUUACUUGAAUUUCAAUUUAAAAAUUUGUGAAUAACUGAUGAGUUUGUUGAAAUUUUGUAUGUGAUGGGCUGAUACAAGGUUAAAAUUUUCUAAACUAGAUUUUUUCCCUUGAUUGUAUACUGGUGUAUUCUCACACUUGAAUUCAUUUAUGGUUUACAAAAUAAUAAUAAUAAUAAUAAUAAUAAUAUCUUGAAUUUUCGGAAGGACGGCGAACUUAUGUUUUUAUAAUGAAAAUCUUGAAUUUGAUAAGAUUUUUGUUACUUUAAAUACUCUUCUUAUCUUUUAAAAUUCUUGGUUUUCAAGAAGGGUGAGUCUAUCUUUAGGUGUACGGAUUGAGGGAACUUUGAGAUAUAGAGUAACCGCGUUCAAGAACACGCAGUUAGUGUGAAUUGACUUGGUUUCCAUUUGACACGUAAGUUAGCAAGUUGUACUUAUUUCUUGGGUUUGAACUUGGAGCUUGAGACUUUAACUAUAAAACCCUAAGACUAGUUAUUCUUGGAGAUGAUGGUGCUCUGGUUGGUGGCUUGCUUAUUAAAGAUUUUGAAUUUCGAAUGGAUAACCUUUGGUUUCCGCUUGUGUUAUGGUUUGAUUGGAUCUAAUUUCGUAAAGGCAUGUGAUCUGAUUGGAAUUAGUGAUAUUCGGACCCAUUGGUUUAAUUAAGGACUUAGGAAGGGUGGUGCACGCCGUGAGACCUUUUGUAUCCCGCUUGCAUAUAUUUCUACAUUUUGUGACCCUUAAUUACCUAUAUACAGUAUUUGACAUAUUGGGCUUGUUUUGUGACUUCUUAACUCGUACUAUAACUUUCGAUACAUGUAAAGAAUCAUGUCUUGAUUCUAAAUAUUUUUGCAACUUGUAUAUACAUUAAGUUCUUUUAUGAUUAAUUAUUCCUUUUCUUGCACUUAUAGACUCCUAUUAAGUAUGGUAGCAGGAAUAGGAAAAAGGGGUCGUGGCCGAGGACUUAGACAACCCUGUACUCGUGAGAAAAAUUGAUGAAUAGUCUUAUAUAAUUUAAUGAGAUCCUAGUACUGAAUAUGAAUCGAGAAUAAACGAGAAGAUUAGAUCUAUCAGUGUAUAAUGGAUUAACCUAGUUGGGAACUUAGUGAGAUUUUCCUGUGUGAAAUUUUAAUAGCUGCUUUAUACGUAUAUUAUGAUUGGUCAUGUGGCCAUAUUUCAACUUUUGUGAAAGUUUGAACUCCAAAAGUAUUUCGUGGGUUUGGUGAGAUGACUUGAACUCAUUACCAAUUUGUUCUACUUGAACAAAAGCGCUUUCAAUUUUACUUGACUAAUACUAUACCCAGAUUCACUUGUUUUACUUUUCACAAAAUUUAUAUAUAUAUAUGUAUACACAUUUUGAACUCGUUUGAAACUCGAAAUCAAAUAGAGUUCAAGUUCGAAUCUUUCUUAGGAACAUGAAUGCCUAUUUGUUAUGAAUCAGAUAUUAGAAAUGAUCGGGUUUUAUGUACCAGUAGAGUUAACUCUUUGUUGGAUAAAAGGGUGGUAAAGGUAUUAGAUCACAGGUUAUGCGAAUAUGAACCUACAUGUUUACCUAUCUUUCUUAAAGGUAUUUUCUAAAAUAUACGCCUUACUCGAACAUAGAUUUAACUCGAAACUUUGUGGAAGAGUGUUGUUACACCCUCCAUGUAUAUGUUAUGAUUAUUAUGUAUAUGUUUUAAAAAUCAUGCAUUAAGUUGCAUGAUUAAUAUUUUUAAAUCUAUUUGAGAGAUUUUAAAUAUGUAUUGAUGAUUGUGGUUAAAUAUUAUUUGAAAUCUCUUACUAAGAAAAUUUAGUUUUGGAUCGUGAAGAAAAAUUUGUAUCUUUAACUCUAAUUUUGAAAAUUUUGAAUCGCAUUUUGCCACAGAUACAUUCAAAAUACAUCAAAAGUCUUGACCUUAUCUUGUAAGUCAUGAUUGGUUUGAUUUAGACAAAAUUUUGAGGAAAGGGAUUUUGGUCCUGCUAGUGCGUAAUAGUUUUUUUGUUAGGAUUUGGAACUUGUUUCAUAUGGCGUGUAAUUUAUGGUUCCACUACACACGGGAGUAAGACCUUAGAAUGGAAGUACAUAUCAUUAUAUCAAGAGGUAUUCAUUUAGUCGUGUGUGGGGAUUUUCUUAAGUAUCAUUCGAGGAGAGGGAAGAGUAAAUAUACCUGGAUGACUUAGAUGCGUGAGAAUUUACAGGUUGUGGAUAGUUGAGUUUCAAAUUCUGAUUUGCUACUUAUUUAGAUGCUUGAGCAGUUGAUAGGCUAACAGUCAGGAUUAAGAAAAUGGAUGAAUGAAAAGUUUGGAAGAGAUGCGUAUAGAAAUAGAAGUUCUUCACAAGGAGUUGGAAUUCUAAACUAAAUUGGCUGAAUUCUGGGGAAAAAAAAAGGGUCGAGAACUUAGGGUUGAAGAUGGGAUCCAAUGUUUGAUCGCCAACUUGAGAUAUUAAAAGUUGUGAGAUUUGGGUGAGUGAAAGGAAAUAUUUGAUGGCUUGAAUGAGUCUAACGAUUAAGGACCGGAUGUUAUAUUUGGAAUGGACGCUUGAGGCUAUAUAUACAUAGAUUAUUGAGAUUUGAACGAUGAGACUAUUAAGAACAAAUACUCCAUAGCCUCACAUAAACGAGAAUUAUAAUCAAGGGUCAAGAGCAGCGAAUAAAAGAUUUAAAGUAGAGUUACUACCAAUCGGAAAUCUUAAAAACUGAUGUGCUUAACCACUUCCAAUUCAAGAUGGGGAUGCUUGAAUUUUCAGUUAUGCCAAUUGGGUUGACUAAUGUAAUAGCAGCAAUUAUUGCAUUAAUGCAUCAAGGUUUUAAAUCGUAAUAGGAUUAAUCUGUGAUGACAUUUAUUGAUGAUGUAUUGAUAUACCCUAAAGUUUGAGAAGAUCAUGAAAAAAUACCUGAUGGUAGUUUUAAAACCCCGAGAGAACGCUAACUUUUGUUAAGUCCAAUAAAUGUGAGUUCGAUGGGAAGAAAUAGCCUUUCUAAGUUAUAUAAUAUCUAAGGAAGAAAUUGUUGUUAACUCAGCUUAAGUGGAAGCUGUUUAAGAGGAAAUGACUAGAAAAUCCUACCGAAAAUUGGAGUUCUUAGAGGUAGUCGAAUAUUACCUUGGUUUGAUCAGGGACUUCUAAGGAUACGAGAUUUGACAAGUUAUUUGAGAUUCUAAAUGUGAGGAAGAAUUUGAAGGUGAAAAUCGUUUAACCAGUGCACUUGUGUUGGCUUUACCGAGCGGAUGAGGUGAUUUUGUGAUUUAUACAGAUGGUUCAAAUGAUGGUUUAGAAUGUAUAUUAAUAAUAUAUGAUGAGGUGAUUGUAUAUGCCUUCUGAAAGUUAAAAUUUCCCGGAAGAAAGUAAUCAACUCAUGAUUUGGAGUGAGUUGGAAAAUGUAAGUCAAUGAUUGAUCUGAUAGGCUUAACCAUGAAGGGAAUGAUAUUGUUCUCAGUAUGAAUUUCGAGGACGAAAUUCCUUUCAAGAAGGGGAGGAUGUGAGGAUCCGAAAAUUUUCUUAUUUUAUAGAAUAUUAUUGAAAUAUUUAAAUGAUUAUUCACUCAUUUUCUUCGAAUUAUUUAUUUCGACCAUUUUAAAUCCAUUUAUAUGGAAUGACGCCUUUUUAUAAUUUUAAAGCGUUUUGUUGAAAAAUUCACUUUUCGAAAAUUUGUUUAGUCCUGAACGACGGGUGCACGUUUUUCUAGGCUAUACUUGAAUCGGGAGUGUAUUAAUAUUGGAGAAUUAAGAACGAUCAAUAAUAGAUUAAGAAAGGUUAAUGGAGGAAUUAAUACUCAAUUCACGUGAGGACUCGUAAAAUUAUUAUUUUUAAAACCCCUAAUUUUGGCUCAAUUAAUUAUCUAUUUGGAUUUUUGCCCCGAAUAUUAUUUUCUAUCCUUAUUAGACCUAAGUACAUGGUUUUAUAGUUUCGUUAUAUUUUUAAAGUAUCUCGUUUCAAAAAUUAUUUUCUUAGAAGCUUGUUUAGUGAAAAAGUGAAAACGUGUCUAAACACUUUAGCCAAUUGGGAGUACACUAAGCUCGAAAAUUUGGGGAUAUGUACAAUGGUUCUAAAAUAGGUAAAUUUAGGUUUAAAUACUCAAGUGGUAGUUAGUGGUACGAUCGUUAUAAGAAUUUCUCGAAAGUUUCAUUUUUUUUGCGCCUAAAUUGGAAAUACGUGUUUUCGCGUGCGCGCUUAAUUGAGGGACUUUGGACCAUUAUUUUGGAACAAUUAAGAAUGAAUAAUAUUUAUAUGAAUGUAAGUGCCCUAGAGGUUUAGUGCACUAGUGCAACAAACUUAAGAGAAAUCGAGCACAAAACGCGCGCGUAGGCGCACUAUUUGCAAUUGAUUCUUUUCCGCACUUAAACUAUUACACGAGUAGCGUUCCUUAUACGCCAAAGGAUCAGCAAAACACUUCAUUUCUUCAAGCUCCUUGGACGGCUAGCAGCUGCAAAGAAACAACCAAAAACUUUCAACAUUCCCUCUACAAAUCUUACUCAAUCUCUACCAAAUUCUCUUAAAAAAAUUCAACUACACUUAGCUCAACUCUUGGGAAGUCCAUCUAGCUGCAAAAGAAAGGAGCUAUCCACGAUUUUCUUCAGGCUUCAAAGGACCGAAAAUUCUGUCUUGACAAACCAUCAAAGUAGGUAAUGAUCUAAUACCUUAAACUUGUCCUAUGGAAGUUAAAUUACACUUAUGAGCUUGAAUUUGCAUAUGGGUUGUGGUUGUUGUUGGAGAAAUUGGAAAAGUGGGCUCUAUGAAUUUCCAAUCUUGGGUUGCGGCUGAUUUUGUUCUUGAUGAUGUUUAUAAUGUGGAAUUAGUGUUUUAAUCAGUGGUUUUUUGAUGGAAAAUUGAUAGAAACUCACGUUAGGUGCAAAGGCCAAAUCUGACCAUUUUGCCCCUGCUUUGUUCGGCCACCUUAAUGCAGAAAUUUGAGGAUUUAAUGGCUUGAUUGCGUUGUUUACAUGUUGUAGAAGUUGUGUACAAAUUUUCAUUGAAAAAUGUUGAGUUUUGGUUGGUCAAAAGAAUUUAUUUCCCAAAGCUAGUAAUCUGGAAAACGGUUCCCGUCGUAACCAGACCAGUGUUCGUAUUUCAUCCAUAACUCCGUCCUCCGAUGUCGAAAUCAAGUGCCGUUAGCGGAAUUUGAAACUAGACAUUCCCAUCUUUCCAACGGUAUAUAAUGCACAUUCUGGUUCCAUGUGUGUGAACCGCACUACUCUUCUGAAUUCAGCUGCCCUGUUUCUUCGUUCUGCCGAAAUGAUUUGAUGAUGCUGCAGCUUUAGGUUAAUUUCGAGCCAGUUGCAUGCUGAAACUUAAAAAGAUUUCUUCUGUGAAAUUUUAUCCCUAUGAAUGUACUUUCUAACAGUAUCAACCAUGCUCAAAUCCAAGUUAAAUUGAGUGAGUUAUGAUCAAAAUACGGUGACUGCCUUGUUCUUGAAAACCCUUAGAUUUGGACAGAUUAGAUGUGAGACUUGUUGUGGUCUUACCAAAUGAAUUUCUUGGUGCUAAACACCUACCAAAUGUACCAUGUAUGCUCCUUAGACUUUUCUUGCACAAAUGAACCAUGUUUGGAGGUUUUCCUUAGCCGAAUGUUUGGAAACGGAGAGAAAGGGGGCUAAAGGUAGUUUUGCCUUAGUAAUUUCAAAACUUUGGUUGAUUGGUUAACCACCUUUCCGAAGGUAUUUUUCCACGAAAUUUGAUAGAGAGAUACCCUUCAUAUAGGAGUAUUAUACUGCAAAAUUUGGUAUCAAUCCAAGUCCGUUUCGACACUUAACAAAAGGUCCAAAGUCGGAACCAAAUCUGGAAAUUUUGUAACAGUCUUGAAUUUUUCCCAACUUUGAACUACCAUAUCUUGGUGCUCGAAACUCCGAUUCUCGAUCCGCUUGUUCUGCCCUAAACCUUACUUGUACCUCUAAUUGAGCUAUAAAUUCAAGGGCUGGUUUGCAACGAGUGAAUUCUGCCGAAUUUCCAAAGUUAGCAAAAAACCAACCCCGGCUCAAUCUUGGGUGAUUUGGAACAGCAACUUUAAGCUCAUUAUUGGAUACCUUCCAUUUAGAUUCAUGGAACAGUGUUUUCUAAGAACUUUUAGUACUUUCAAAGACGAUUCCAACGGUACCAAGUUUAUCAAUUUUUGACUAGUAGAAAAGAAGUUAUGAUUUUUCAAAAAUUUUACCAAAAAUCAAAAAUUUUGAAAUUUCAAAAGAAAUCCGCGCGGGAAGUAUUUUUCUAGAAUCCGACCUUGAAUCCGGCCAGUUUCUGGCCGGAUAGGCGGCCGGAUUGUAGUUGGGAUUUGAAAAAAAAUGAGGAUGGUUACUGCCUCCAAUCCGGCCAAGAAUCCGGCAGGAUAUCCGGCCAGAUUCCGGCCGGAUUGUGACGUGGCCAGUCCACUUUCAACUUCGGUCGCUCGUUUUGAGAUUUAUUCGCACGUACUCGUUUCCAUCCAAUGAUUUCAAGAAUAAUAAUCCGAUAUUACUCGAGUCUCGUACUUUUUGCGAAUCCAACUUCAAAGACAAACUCAAACGAAAUUUCCAAAAUAUUUUCAGACCACAUUUGUGUUCGAUCUCCUCGUCUCUUAGGGACCUAUAGUAAUGGUCUUCUAUUCGAUGUUCAGGCACGCACGAGGACCUCCAAGAGGACACUACCGUGGAAGUUUGAACACUCAAUCCAACCUGCUUUCUUGCGUAACUUGGUGAGUGUCAGGUGUAUGUAAACUUGUUACAUGUUUAAUUGUUAUUAAUGAUUGGAAAUCUUGAAAGUGGAGUCGAGUGUGUACUUUACCACACUCCUAUUAUUAUAAAUGAAAUAUUAAUGGUUGAAAUGUAUUGAAUGAAUGAUUGAAAUGGAUUGAAUGAAUGAUUGAAAUGUAUUAAAUGAAUGAAUGAAAUGUAAUGGUAUGCUAUAGUUGCCUACGUCGUUGGAGUGAAUCUCCUCGACACCCAAGUGCACAUGGGGACGCCCAAAUCUCAUUGACCGACCUUGGACUCGAGCCGGCAUGGGCUUGGUCGGGAACCUUGGCGAGCCAUGAGAUAUAUAAGUUUGACCUAGUGAGAGGUCUUGCUUGGCAUACUCAAGUAUUAUCGCCACAAACAAAUGAUAGGCGGACCCGAUACAGAGGUAUGUAAGGUGAAAGGGGACAGGUUAAGUGGAGUUCUACAGACUAAACCUACCCGAUUGACGGAGUGUCAAUUCGUGGAGGUUAUUGAAUGUGCAAGUGGAAUAUAGCUCCUGAGGGCUCCAGUAUCCUUGAAUUGUUUCUGGUUAUAUUUCCAGUAAAUUGUUAAUUACUAAAAUAUGAUUGCUUGACUUGUAAAUUGAGAUUGUUAUUUGAGCAAUGUGCUUGUAUGUGUGUUCUUGGUCUCACGAGCGUUUUUGCUCACCCUGUAGAUUUGUUUUCCUUAACAGUAUUGAAUUUGGCGAGGUAUCGAAGAAACCUUCCUGCUACGCUUUUGUUUAGGGUUUCUAUUACUUUUGGCUAUGUCUUGGCUUUUGGGUUGUAUUUUGGAAUCCGAAUGUAACUUUUGGAGCAUAAUGUAUAUUUGGGAUAUAUGAUGGUUGUUGAACACCCGAUGUGCGGGUUGGAUAACGGAUGACUUUUGUUAAAUUUGAACGCUUCCGCAUUUAUUGUAUCUAAGUUAUUGACUCGUAUGGUGUGGUCCGGCAAUAAGUUUAAAUGGAAUUGCUUGAAUCCUGGCGAGAACUAGGCAGGCGUCCCGCGGAUACCCUUUGGUUCGCCUUAGGGAGAAGUGGGGGCGUCACAUCAUCUGUUUGCAAUAAAAACUGUUUAAUUAGGUUAUGCCUCUGGUUGUGGACAAUAUGCAGAAAGCAAGUUUAUCUAAUGUGUUACCUUUAAAAAAAAAAAAAGUUUGUCUAUUAUGUUGAAAUACAAAACUGAAAAUAGCACAGCAAAACUUGUCCAAUUUCACCUUAUAUAGACGAUCCUAAGCGUUUUAAAAAUGAAAAUGUUGCCCCAGCUAGCUAAAACAAAUUGGAGACAAUGAGAAUCAGAUUAAAAUGUUAAUUCUAGUUCCCAAAAUUUAGCUUAACUCGUUUGGACAGUAACCAAGUAAUCAUGAGAUUCUUGAUUUAACCCCUACCAUUUCCUGUUUCCCUCUUGUAAGGUUUGAAAUCUUCCCUUGAACCAUUUGUCAAUUUUUGAAAGAAACAGCAGUAAAAUAAAAGAGUAUUCAUGUUCACAUUGGGAUUAUUUAAUACUCCAUUCUUAUCCAAUAACAAAACUAGUCAUAUAUUUGUUUUACUUCUCAAAAAAUUUAAGGGCAAAUUUCACUUUACCCCGUGUGGUUUAGUAAUUUUUUUACAUAACCCCCAUAUAAUUUUAAAAACUAUAUAUGACCCCGUCAUGGUUUGGAUUAAGUGUCAAAGUGACGGAAAUGAUCAUUCAUAAUGGAGUCAUUUAAAAUAUAAAAAAUACCCUUAUGUAAAGUUGAAAAUUAUUUAUUUAUUAACCAAGGGGGGUUAUGUAUAUUUUGAAAACCAUAAGAAGGUUAUAUGGUAAAAUAUUAAACCAUAAGGGGAUUAUAUAGUAAAACAUAAAAAUCAUACAGAGUUAGUAUGCCAUGUAUUUAUAAGGAUAAUUUCAAUAUUUUUAAAAGUUCCGUAACGAAUAACUAUUUCCGUCACUUUGGCACUUUAAUCCUAACAAUGAGGGGAUUAUAUAUAACUUUUGAAACUAUAGAGGGGGAUAUGCACAAAAACACUAAACUAUAGGGGAUAAAGUAUAAUUUGCCCAAAAUUUAAUGAGGGCAAAGCUAAAAUUUUAUCAGAAUUGUAUGAGUGACAACAAAGCUUUCAUGGGAGCAGCCCCACAUUAAAUCUGCCACUGCUAUCAGUGUUACUUUCAUUCUAUUGUCACCUGCCUGACGAUUAUUGUACUCUACAACAUGGCUGAGAGCAAGAUUUGAGCAUUAAAAUUUAGCAACCAGAGGAGGAAAGAUAGAUUAAUUUGAACAUUUGAUCACAGCAUGAUAUAGACAAAUUAUUCUUGAUUAAUUUAGGAGGAAAGAUCGAUUAAUUUAGACAUUUGAUGAAGCAUGAUGUAGACAGAUUAUCAUUGAUUAAUGUGAUACUGACCCGAGAACCAAAAAAAUUGAAAUAAUGUGACUAUAACCCCUGAUUAGUGUGGAAUUGAUUAUGUAGUCAGCACUAUGUACAGGUAAGAACUUCAAAGCAUAAACUGACACAAGACUGGUUGUUAGAAGCAUAUUGUUAGAUACAAAAAUAUGGGCUUUCCGUCUACAAAUAAGAGAUACAUUUAAAGUCCAAGAUUUCAUGCGCACAUGAAAGAUUUGUUUCAAACAGAUUCACAAACCUCAGCACAAGGUUCAAGAAAUUAAUAUUUCAUUGAUUCGGGACAAAUGUGCUAAUAAAAUUCAUAAUAAGGGAUUAAGUUCAUUUUGAAAAAUAGAGGGUGCUAAGUGAAAUUGUCAUAAGUCUCACUCGAACAUCGUCCAAUCUAUCCCAAUUUAAGAUUUGGCAGAGUUACGAAAUUUACCAUGUAGUUUGGCCAAAUUACAGUUAUGCUUCAUAAAUAGCCAAAUAUUUGUCAAGUAUCCCCCUCAGAUAAUAACGUUCUAGAUCCCCAUAACUCUUUUAUAAUUUAACCUAAUUACAUUUGCCUCCUUGCCCAAAUCACAAAAGGAAUUGCAUUCAUUGUACAAGUCAUCGUCUAAACACUUUGAAUAACUAGAUAAUUAUUAAAAAAAAAAACCUCCACAUGUGUCACUUGAUCUUAACCAUGUAAAUGACAGUAACAUGAACAAGAUUUUACUAAAAUUACUUUUUUUAAUUUUUUUUUCUAGUAGGAAGGGAUGGAGUUCAAGAAGCGAAGAGGGAAAGGAGGAUUUGAAUACAGAACUUCUAAGUUUGAGAUUUGAAAUUCCUAAAGUAUCGUGUGCAUAAUCCUUUCUUCCUACCAUAAGCUACAAUUAGUGCAACCAAAACCCAUGUCAUGAGGCAUCAUCAAUUAUAACAUUGAAGUCACCAAUGGAGUUGAUUUAGCCACCAUGUUUUGCUGAAACCAUUUAAAGCCUAGCGUAUCUCUUUUUCAUUUUUUUUCUAAUUUACUUCAUGAUUUUAGGUCUCCAAUUCGAUUCAUUAUCUUUGGUCUCCAUUUUCAUUUGUCAUGAUCAUCAAGAAGUCCUUUUGCAAGUAUACAUUCCUAUGAUAUUACCAAUCAUGUUUAAUUACCCACUGCAAAUGUGACAAAAUCAAUUGAGAAUAACAAUGACCUAAAACUUGCAAAUUUUCUUUCAAAAUAAACUAAUGCAACUAGACUUGGCUGAGCUAAGAAAACAGAAAAUAAAAUAAACAAACAAGGCAGACGUAUACAUGGAUUGGUCCCCGGGAUAUGACAAGAGAUAUAUAGUAGAAUAACAUCUAGUUACAAUAUAUUUCUUGACACUUUAACUCACCUCAUAUAAUGUAAUUGUUGUUUUCAUCCUGUUUGUUACCUCUGUGACGAUUAUUAUACUCUAACAGUGAUAACAACAAGAUUUGAGCAUCAGAAAAUUUAGAAACUGGAGGAAAGAUACAAUAUUAAUAUUAGACACGACCAUAGCUUGAUAUACAAGAUAUAAUCCUUGAUUAAUGUGAUAUUGACACAAGAAAGAAAAAAUGGAACCCCUGAUUAGUGUGGAUUUAAUUAUGGGAUAAUUGCAUAAACCUCCCUUGACUUUUAUAGUAAUAGUAUUGACCUCCCCUAUCAAUUUUGAAAUAGCACUGAUCUCCCCUAUCAAAAGUUGGAGGCAAUUUAAUAGGCAAAAGUGGGUCAAUUUACUAAAGUACCCCUGACAUGAUUUAAUUUUACCAAAUAAAUAUGAUGAGUACUUUCAUCAAACCCAACAAAACAUUUGUUAAUAAAAAUUACACUAAAUUAACUAUUUCUGCAUAGUUUAACUAAUUAACUAAUUAACUAAAUAACUAAUAAUUUAAUUAAUUAAUAACUAAUUAUCUAAUUAACUAUUAACUAAUUAACUAAUUAUCUAAUUGUUAAUAGUUAUUAAUUAAUCAAACUAUUUUUGCAUAAUUAAACUAAUUAACUAUUAACUAAUUAUCUAAUUAAUUAAUUAACUAAUUUCUGUUUAUCUAAUUAACUAAUCUCUAUUUAUCUAAUUAUCUAAUUAUCUAAUUAACUAAUUAACUAAAGCUGUUGUCUGUCCGAAACUAAUAAAUUAUUUGCAUAUCAAACUAAUUAACUAAUUAGCUGCUUAACUAAUUAACUACCUAAUUAUCUAAUUAAUUAAUUAACUAAUUAACUAAUUUUUGUUUAUCUAAUUAACUAAUUAACUAAUUAUCUAAUUAACUAAAGUUGUUGUCUAUCCGAAACUAACAAAUUAUUUGCAUGUUAAACUAAUUAACUGUUUAACUAAUUAACUAAUUAACUAAAGCUGUUGUCUAUCCUAAACUAACAAACUAUUUGCAUGUUAAACUAAUUAACUAACUAAUUAUCCAAUUAAUUAAUUAAGUAAUUUUUGUUUAUCUAAUUAACUAAUUAUCUAAUUGACUAAUUAACUAAAGUUUUUGUCUAUCCGAAACUAACAAACUAUUUGCAUGUUAAACUAAUUAACUAAUUAACUGCUUAACUAAUUAACUAAUUAACUAAAGCUGUUAUCUGUCCGAAACUAACAAACUAUUUGCAUGUUAAACUAAUUAACUAAUUAACUACUUAACUAAUUAACUAACUAAUUAUCUAAUUAAUUAAUUAACUAAUUAACUAAUUUCUGUUUAUCUAAUUAACUAAUUAACUGAAGCUGUUGUCUAUCCAAAACUAACAAACUAUUUGCAUGUUAAACUAAUUAACUAAUUAACUGCUUAACUAAUUAACUAACUAAUUAUCUAAUUAAUUAAUUAACUAAUUUCUAUUUAUCUAAUUAACUAAUUAACUAAAGCUAUUGUCUGUCCGAAACUAACAAACUAUUUACAAGUUAAACUAAUUAACUGAUUAACUGCUUAACUAAUUAACUAAUUAAUUAGCUAACUAAUUAACAAACUAUUUGCAUGUUAAACUAUAUGCAGUACGCAUUACCUAUUUAAAGUAUCGGCUCUUUAUAGGUAUUUUACUUUCAAACAAUUAAUUUAUGAUAAAAAUAUCAAUGUUUGUAAGUAAACUUCAAAAAGUGUUGCAAAAAAUAUCAAUAUUCUUACUUUCAAACAUUUAAUUUAUGGCCCUAUACCCCUCCCUUUUUAUAAGAAUAUUACUGUAACAUUUUUUGAAUUUUACUUACAAACAUUGAUAUUUUUAUCAUAAAUUAAAUGUUUGAAAGUAAAAUACCCAUAAAGAGCCGAUACUUUAAAUAGGUAAUGCGUACUGCAUAUAGUUUAACAUGCAAAUAGUCUGUUAAUUAGUUAGUUAGUUAAUUAAUUGAUUAGUUAAGCAGUUAAUUAGUUAAUUAGUUUAACAUGCAUAUAGUUUGUUAGUUUCGGACAGACAACAGCUUUACUUAAUUAGUUAAUAAUUAAUCAGAUAAUUAGUUAAUAGUUAAUUAGUUUAACUAUUAACUAAUUAGAUAAUUAGUUAAGCAAUUGUCAAGCAAAUAAUAAUUGUCAAGCAAGAAGAGGGCAAAAUUGAAAGAAAUUUCUUAUCUCACUUCUAUUAAAGCUGUCAGGGAGGUUUCUGCAACGAAUUGUUACUGUUCAGGGGAGGUGAAUGCAAUUUCAAAAUCUAGAGGGGAGGUCAGUGCAAAUGUCAGAAAUCUCAGGGGAGGUUUCUGCAAUUAUCCCUUUAAUUAUAUAAUAACCAGUACUAAUACGACUUUCAAUCAGAUUUAAAAGCAUAAGCGAAGGUUGAUUAUCUUUUGUUAACUUAUUGCUGUAAUGGGGUUCUUUGUGGUGCAGGUAAGAACUUAAAAGCAUAAGCCGACACAAAAUUGGUUGUUAAAUUGAUUUUAAAUUCAUGAUAUAGAGGACAAAAAAUCCUUGAUUAGUAUGAUAUCGACCAGAGAAAGGAAAAAAAAAUGAAAUUGUGGGACCACUAACCCUUGAUUAGUCUGGAUUUGAUCAUAUAAUCAGCUGUACUAAUGCGACUUUUUCAGUUCAAAUGUAAAAGCAUAAGCUGAGAUUGGUUGUUAGUGUUUGUUGUCGUACUGGCCACUAAUGCUUUCUGGUAAGAACUCAAAUGCAUAAACUGACAUAAGAUUGGUUGUUUGAAGCAUAUAGUUACACUAGCUAGCGCAUGCAACUAGGGCAACUGCCCCCAAGAUUUAGGAAUUCUUAAAUACCCCUACAAAAAUUAAAUUUUUUUGUUUUUUUUAAUCCUUCUACAAAUCAGACUUUGUCCCUACAAGAUUUUAGAAAUCUUUUUAUAUCCCUUUGACAUGUUCAAAUUUUUUUCCUUACUAUCCUUGAAAAUAUUAAAUUUCGCACCGGAGCUUUCUACAAAAGUAUAAGAAUGCCCCCAUAAGUGUAUUUAUUUACUACUCUUGCCUCCUUUCCCAAAAUGUUAACCUCUAAUUCCAGCAAUGGUUCGAUUCAUUUCCGUUGGAUCGAGAUCAAGGACCUGCUCAAGUUACUUAACACGGGUUCUCCAUGGACAGAUAUUAACUUUCUGUUUUUGUGUUCAAAUAGAAGAGCAGUUUAUGGUCCACAAUUUCAAGCAUACAUGAAUUUUUUACGAAUAAAUUCACAAACCUUCACUAGGGUCUAGGAAGUCAAUAAUCUUUCAUUAAUUAAGUGAAAUUGUCAAUAACCUUUACUAGGGUCUAGGAAGAGCUAAGUGAAAUUGUCAUUAAUUACACUCGAGGUAUGUACAAUUCCCUAUUCAUCUUAUCAUUACUUUAUUGACGUUUAAUCUUUCAUUUUUUUUAAUGUAAACAUAAUCAACAAUUCAGGAAACCAAUUUUCAAUUUUUGCAAAGGUUGCACAGUGAACUCUUAUAGCCCUCUAUAUUUCACAAAUCCCUCAAAUUGAAGCUACUGCAAAUAUGAUUCAUAAUUAUUCAUCGGGUUACUUCAAAUUGAAAUUUAAGAUGAUAUGAUAAUGCCCUUUUGGUUUAAGACAACUAACUUUCCUUUUUGGUUUCAGUUAAUCUCUUGCCGAAUCACCCAAAAAAAAAGGAAAAAGAAAUGUAGCAUCAACUUUGUUUAGAUCUUAAUCAUGAGUCAUGAUCAAUAAUUAUGUUUCAGUCGCCAUUCACCAGAGAAGUAGUUUGGGCACCACUACCAUUGGCGUACUUUUUUUUUUAUUUUUUAUCAGCAACGAUACAUUUGUAUAACAUACUCUAUCCUAAUCUAGGGGAAGGAGGAAUCUAAGGAGGCUGUGGUAGGGACUAGUGGGUAUACAGACCCAACUAAAUCAACGGAGUGUUAUGGCACAACUUUUAAAAUUUUUUUCCGCUGCAAGUGAAGUUUAAACCCUCACCCACAACCCAAAGAAGGAUCUAAGUCCUUCCCUGGUGGCCACUGAGCCAUUGGUCCAGUGGUUCACUACCAUUGGCAUACUUGACAUGGAGAUAAUUAAAUUUCAUUUUUCGGACACAACAAAGUUUUAACUUUAAAAUUAUGAAAGCCAUGGAUCAAUACAGAAGUUUCUCUAUUCCCACUGCUCAGUGUUAAGUUUCAAUGUUUCAAAGACACUUAUUUUGAGAUCAAAAGUUAAAAUUCAACAAAGAUACUUCGUCACAGAUAGAAAUUAACAAAAUAUUCAACUUUGAAUUAUUGACAAAAAAAAAGGAAAUUUUGAAAUUGACAUACUAAGUUUCACAAAAAUGUUUUGGAGGAAAUUUCUUAUUCCACAAAUGUCAUGGAUGAUUUCUAAAUAUUUGGGAAAAGUGAGUUCGGACUUGGGAGAGUAUAAUAGCAGGUGAGGUGAGCCAUGGGCAAAGAAAAAGAAGAGAGAAGGAGAGGUUAUCUUGAAUUCUUUUUCCCUUUCAUUUUCAAAAUUGUGGUGAUUUCUUUCAAGUUUAGUGUAAAUUUUUGAAACCUUUGUUAUUGAUAUUUGGCUAUUGAAAAGGAUAGCUACAUUAUUUCUAAUUAAGCAACAUGGUCCCUUUCCAUGAUUUGGACAAACCUCAAGGGCAUAUUUGUGAUUUUAAUUCUUUUAGCCGGGAUUGUGAAUUUUAGGGACUGAUCCUCAAGUUGCACAAACUUUGCUGAAAAAUAAAUGUAAUUAACCCUAAUCUAAAAGCGAUGAAUCUUAUCUACAAACUGUGAAUGAAGAUGAUGCAAAUCUAAAGCGGAGAUAAAAGAAACUUAAGCCUCUGUUUAUCUACAAAGUAAUGGAGACAGUAAUAGUAUCUGAGACUUGGAAAUUCCUCAAGUUUGUAGAAUUCUAGCACAAAUAACUUUUUUUUUAAAAAAAAAAAAUAGAGGAUCAAUAGUAAUUCCUUAUUUACUCUUGUGAUGAUUUGAACUCGUACCUCUAUAGUAGUGGUUCGAGUCGGUGAUUUUUUUGUUUCAAAUAAAGCGUUUUACCAACUAGAUCAUAUUUCAUUUCAUUGUGUCUAAUACAAUGAAGUUUUAGUUAUUAGUAGGUAUGAAGAGUACAACCAUGAGUUUACUGAUUACGCUUAAGCUUUAUAUCGUAGAAUGUACAGCACCAGAACAUUGGUCCUGUUCAAUUUCAGCUACUUAGGACAGUGGCCCCUAAACAAAUAAAUUAGAAUGGAUAAAGAAAAUUGCUUUGUCACAAUGGACGGUUGCUUCUUGUAAUAAACAAUAAUAGAACGGAAAGGCAGACCUUUUGUAUCUGUUCAAUUAAAAAAUGAGCAGGACUCAUCUUGAUAAUCACUUACAAAUACACAGCCCUUGAACCUUCAUCAGUCACUCAGCAAAAACUUUUCUUCCUCACUUCAAAACUUGCCAAAAAAAAAAAAAAAAGCAUUUCUGCCUCUGAAAGGAUGGCUGAGAAUCUGCUUAUGAGUGCCUCAGUGGAGGUUUUACUGCAGAAAAUAAUCUCAGUCACUACUGAAAACAUUAACCUUGUUUUUGGUGGUCCUCAAGAAAUCUCAUGCCUAAUGGAGAACUGGUUUUCCCACUCCAGUGAAGAGACUAAUGUUGUGCAGGCCAUCAGACAAGAGUUGGAGGAAUUGAAAGGAUCUUUAUCCAACAUCCAAGCUGUCUCACAGGAUAAUCUGAGGCUGCAGGACAAGGCUGUGAUCGUUACGCUUUGGCUGCAGAAACUUUCUGAUAUAGCCGAUGAUGCUGAUAAUGCUUUGGCAGAUUUCAGCUAUCAAAUUCUCCAGCAUGAGGUGGAGAUGCUGAACCAAGAAAAACCAAAGGCAAGUCUCUUCUCCUGUCACUCUGAUAAGAAAGCUUUUCGCCAAGAAAUGAUGCCUAAAGCAAGAGGCAUCAGUAAUAAGCUGGAGAUGAUCAAUAAAGAAGUGAAAGACUUUUUAGCUUCUGAGAAAUAUGGUGUCACAACUGCUUCUUCCCCUCAGGUAGAUGUAGUUCAGGAGGUUGGCUUCUUGAUUGCUGACCUUAAAAUCACAGAAAAUGAGGAAAAGAGAUCUAUAGAAAAUUUCUGGUCCAUAAUAAAAGAAAAAGCAGGUGCAAGUGAUGAAAUACCAAUAGGCCUGGAGGACAUAGGAAGGCACAUUGCAGAAAAGUGUCAAGGUCUGUCUUUAGCAGCAAAUUUACUUGGAGGUUUGUUACAAAACAAAAAGAAGGGAUUUCUGGUUGUCAAUUUUAGAAAGCGGGGUAUUAGAUAAAGAAGAUGUAAUCUCUGCGAUACUCAAAUUGUGCUUUGAAAAUCUGCCAUCUCCAUUCCUCAAAAGAUGUUUUGCAUUUUGUUCGAUGUUUCCAAGGAACUCUGUUAUUGAAAGGGACCAGCUAGUCCAGCUUUGGAUGGCUGAAGGAUUUAUUGACCCAGGGUUGGGGAUUUCUGUGAUGGAGGAAAUAGGAAAUCAAUACUUUGACACUUUGUUGCAGAAUUCUUUACUUGAAAUUGUAAGCAAGGAUAACUUCAACAAAGUAACACAUUGUAAACUGCAUAAUCUUGUCUAUGAUUUUGCAUAUUCUCUAUCAAGCUUCGAGAGCAUCACCAUCGGCGAAAGAGAUCGAGAUGACAUUCGUCAGAUUCAACACCUUGCAUUGGAGUCGUUUACGGAGGAAACCAUGAAGAUUGCCAAGGAGAAAGCAAGAUAUUUGAGGACAUUAUUCCUAAAGAAAAAUUUACCUGACAAUAACUUGCUAAAUCUAAACUUCUUGUAUGUUUUAAACCUCUGUGAUGCAGAUAUAGCAGAAUUGCCAGCAUAUGUUGGAAAUCUAAGGAAUUUAGAAUACCUUGAUCUCUCGAGGACAGAGAUAAAGUCUAUACCUGACUCUGUCUGCAACCUUUACAAGUUGAAGACAUUGAGGAUCAUUGGAUGUAAUUCUCUUGAAGAACUCCCAAAAGAUUUCAAGAAUUUGCUAUGCCUGAGACAUCUUCACUUCUAUUAUAAUGAGUACUUCUCUAUGC
rnacentral:lncRNA from 1 species